rnacentral:lncRNA from 1 species
CAUCAGAGAGCAUCCAAAGGGGGAGAGCAUUCGGCUCUCCCAUGGGAAAGCAUGGGCACGGGUGAGAGAAAAUCAAGAGAGCUAGAGUGAAAAGUAUUCUAGUGAAAGAACUCUUGGGGUAGAGUGAGGCUCUUGGGAAAAUUCUAUGAGUGGGUGUGCAAGGGAUUUGGGAUUGGGUUAUGUUGAUUUAACUCAUGUGUACUUGUACUGUUAUUCUCAUAGUGAAGAGCAAUAUCUCUCCGGGGACGUAGGCAGGUUUUUGCCGAACCUUGUAAAUUUCUCGGUGUCUUUAUUUCUUGUAUUUUAUUCUGUUCAACUGAGUGUGAUUUUGGUGAGGUUGUAAUCUGAAUCUCGUUUCCGCACUAAUGAACGGACCAAGGCACAACAAUUGGUAUCAGAGCAUCGUUGGAGGCUUUGGUUCGUUGGAGGUCCAGAUUUGUUGUUCACCAUGAAUUUUUCAGUUGAGCAGUUUAAUGGGAGAGGCGGUUUUACUCUUGGUAAAGGAGAGUAAUGGAAGCCUGAAGAAAUGGAAGCCGUGUUCAGGGAUGCUUGGAUCAACUGCGAAAGUUGAUGUUGAGGAAGAAGAAAAAUGCCUCUUUCUUCUUACCUCACUUUCAAAUUCGUACGAGAACCUUGUUAAACUUUACUACAUGGAAAUAUACAGUAAGUUUGGAGCAGGUGCAAGCUUAUUUGGCGUGGAAUGAUACACAAAGGAGACCAUGGAUGAUGGUGGGCACAAGACUGCUUAAGUUAUUAAAGGUUGAAAUCGUGGAAGAAAAUUGGAAAGAGGAUAUGAGAGAGACAGCAGGUUCAGAUCUGGUUCCGGAGGCAAGGGUCCACAGUGCUAUGAGUGCAAGGCCGGGUUGUAGCAAGUUUGUGGCGGAAGACUUUGAGUAUGUCCUCUAGGUACUCGAAGCAACACUUCUCCAGGUGAUGUUUAGUCUCAAGUAUUGCAGGGGUUUUGCAGCAGGUGGAGCUAUGGGAUUCACAGGUGAUGAGAUGGUCCUGAGGUAGGAGAAAGUGUGGGAAUUUUGUCUGGCUCGAUGGGUUGUUGCUGGAAACGGGCGCGCUGACGAGUUUCCAGGUUGCAGACAAUGAAGAGGAGGAAAACCUGCUGGAGGAGACGAGGAUGUGUCGAGAUCCUGUCUGAAGCUAAAUUGUGAUUUUUAGCUUGCAGCAGCUGCACAUGCAUUGGCAGUGACUGAAUCGGAACAGGACCAAUGAGGUGGAUUCAGAGUGUGCAUGCUGGUACGUAAGGCCAAUGGACUUUGGUGAUGGGUGCAAGGAUUUUUGCAUGGUGUAUUCGCCAAGGUGAAGAUUGUUGUGUUUGGUUCAUACAUUUGUGAGUAAUUAUGAGUCAUGUGUUAACAAUAAUGAAGUGACCUGUGUUUGCUUUCGGUGGAAAUAUCACAUGGUGUGGGUUGCAUGAAAGUUGCAGACAAAGUAAAAGCAAAAGUUUGGUGGACAUCAUCAUGAGUAAAAAUAUAAUGAUGAUGCUUGCUUUUACUUUAAUGAUGAUGUUUGUUUUUUGCUUUAAUGAUGAUGCAAGACACAAUGAUGAUGGCUAUGAUGGCUUGGCCUUAUAUUGAGAAGGCUUGCCGAGUUAGGGAGAGAGGGAGAGCAUUCGGCUCUCUCCUGAGAAGGCAUCAGAGGCAUCCAAAGGGGGAGAGCAUUCGGCUCUCCCAUGGGAAAGCAUGGGCACGAGUGAGAGAAAAUCAAGAGAGUUAGAGUGAAAAGUAUUCUAGUGAAAGAACUCUUGGGCUAGAGUGAGGCUCUUGGGAAAAUUCUAUGAGUGGGUGUGCAAGGGAUUUGGGAUUGGGUUAUGUUGAUUUAACUCAUUUGUACUUGUACUGUUAUUCUCAUAGUGAAGAGCAAUAUCUCUCUGGGGACGUAGGCAGGUUUUUGCCGAACCUCGUAAAUUUCUCG